UUCUUUGUUUAGGUCAUUGGGUGUUGGACUCUCAAUUGGAGGCAGGUGUUUCCUAGUUGCCUCUGAUUGAGAGUCCUAUAUAUAGGUAUGUGCUGGUGGUUUGUGGGAGAUUGUGCUAGGCAUAGCCUUCAUGCCUUACCGGCCUGUUAUUCGUCAUUGUGUUUUGUGUACGUGUUUAUUUUGUUUUUUCCUUCUUUGCCAAACUAAUAAAAGAGGAAGAGUGCGCAUAACCCCGCUGCGUUUUGGUCCGACAAUGAUUUUUCUUUAUCAUCUAACGAAGGUGGGGAAGGUGUUGUUCCGACCAGAUGCUAGUAAAAAUAGUAACUGUAUUAUGUGGAUUGAAUGGAUGAUGCGUUGCGUACUAACUUGACGAUGUGGGAUAGAUAUGAUCAAAAUGCAGGAAUAUGCACGUCUGCGUUGAUGACAGGUUUGAAACCUGUUAUCAAAAUGGCUAUAACUGGGGUGGUGGAUCAGCAUUCUCACUGGGAUGAAAUAGUACAAGCAGCAUUGAGAGUAGAAUCAAAUUCCAUUUUCUACGCAGCAGUACGAGUGGUUAAUGCUGCCACAGUGAAAGUCACUAACAGUGGUUACAAUGGCCCAAAUAAGACAAAUGGACAGGGAAGGAAAGUGGUGGAAUCAUGUGAAGGCGUAAAGCUUUAGAUCCCUGUUUUAGGUGUGGGGCUAUCGGGCAUUGGAAGAAUGAGUGUAUGGUGGUACUGGAACCUGCUGCUUUGGGAGGAAAUGGCGCUGUAAAAGUGUUUGCAUCUUUGUCAAAAGAGCAGAAGCAAACCCUCUUAAAAGCAGUGGGACAGGAACAUUUUGCAUAGCAUUACAUGGCCUCCGUUCGAUCAAUAGUGGUUCAUAGAGAUGACGUUUUUUAUGUGAAAGGAGACGUAAGUGUCACGUCUCGCACAACUUUCUAAUAGAUACAGGCGCUCAAAUAUCACUAAUUCCAUAUGAUGACCGGAAAAAGUAUCACGUUCAGGGGGUAACAGGGGCACAAUCUAAAGCGAUACAACUAUUACCUAUGUCUUUAAAACUAGGACCAGGAUCAUUUUACAUGGCUACGGGAAUAGAACCGAUUUUGGGGUUGGAUAAUCUUUGCGAGAUGCCGGGGGAAUGGAUUCUGAAAGGUAAUAAAUUAAAAUUGGCUGUAAGAACGACGAAAGCCGAGCAAUUGUUGUUUCAGGACCAUCCAUUAUGGGCAAAAGACGCAUUAGAUUGUGGGCUAGUCUAAGGUUGCAAGCCUGUUGUAGUUGAGGGAGAACCGCCACCACCAAUGAAGCAAUACCCUUUUAAACCAGAGGCUGAGAAAUCGGUGGCGGAGGACCUUCCAAUAUUACUUGAACGUGAUCGUGAUCUAUUCCCUCAGACUCAGAAUGGUACAGUGUGUUAGACAUGAAAAACGGAUUUUGGUUGGUGAGGCUGAGGAGUCACGACACUGGUUCGGGUUCUGUUGCCAGGGGGAGCAAUUUACGUGGGCUAGAGUACCGAUGCGAUUUACAAAUAGUCCCACUUGGUAUCAUUCUGCAUUGAAACAAUCGUUAAAAGGGUGUACAUUUGAAGGUUCUGUGUUGGUACAGUAUGUGGAUGAUUUGUUAUUACCGUCAAAAGACGAAGAAACUCAUAUGCGAGACCUCACCACAUUGGUUGACUAUUUGGGGGAACAGGGUCAUAAAGCAUCUUAUGAGAUAGCACAACUAGCAAAGAAAGAGGUAACCUAUUUGGGGGUGUUGAUUUCUAAGGGAAAGAAUCAUUACCCGGGAUCGGGUAGAAACCAUACGUUCUUUGGCACGGCCAAACACUCCUUUCACACUCAGGAAAACUUUAGGAGUUUUCAGUUUUGUUAGACAUUUUAUUCCGUCAUUCUCUGAAAUUGCUGAGCCACUUACAGAGUUGACAAAAGGGGAGAAGGGUCCCCAUGAGUCGAUAGAGUGGAAUCAAGAGUGUGAGGAAGUGUUUGUCGAGUUAAAGAAGCAAUUGUGUUAAGUGCCAGCAUUGGGAUUGCCAAACCUAAAAUUACCUUUGAAAGUUUUGUUCAUGAACAAGAAGGACAUUGUAGCGCGGUGGUUACGCAAAAUCAUGGGGGUAGAGAGAGACCAAUAAUGUACUGGAGUAAAUCGCUAGACUCGGUGGCAAAAGGAAUGCCACCGUGCCUUAGGGCGGUACAGGCGACUGAAAUGGUGUUGCAUAACACGGCUUCCAUUACAAUGGGUCAAAAAGUAGAUUUGUAUGUUCCACACGCAGUAGCAACCAUUGUGAACAGCACGAAAGCACAACAUGUUACUAGUGCAAGAUGGACAAAAUGGGAGUUAACGUUAAAUGGGGAAAAUCUACAAUUUCAUAAGAUAGGUGCUUGAAUCCUGCGUCAUUAAUGCCGUUACCUGGGCUAGGUGAAUCGCAUACAUGUAACCCAAAUCAGAUUACUCCAAAACCUAGGCCUGCUUUGCAAGGGACAGCAUUAGAAUCGGGAAAAGUAUUGUAUACAGAUGGCUCUAGUUACAUGACCACAGCUUGGAAGAGAGUUACGGAUUACGCUGUGUGUGAUGACAGAGGAGUAGUAAAGGCUGGCCCAAUGUCAGCCUCGGUGUCAGCCCAGGGGGCGGAGGUACAUGCACUGGCCGAGGCUUGUAGGUGGUCGGAAGGGGAGAAUGUAACAAUAUACACAGAUUCUCGGUAUGCAUCUGGAGAAGUUCAUGAUUUCAGUACAUUGUGGUCAGAACGGGGCAUGUUAACAGCAACAGGAACACCAAUAAAAAAAUGGACUAGAGGUAGAGGCAUUAUUAGAAGCAUGUCAGUUGCCCAAUAAAUUAGCAGUGGUGAAAUGUGAAGCUCAUACUAGUCGCACAGAUAAUAUCGCCAUAGGUAAUCGUAGAGCAGACGAAAUGGCUAAGGCGGCUGCCUUGGUGAGAGAAAGUGUUAGAGAACCACAUGUAAAUAUUGUGAAUACGAAGGCUGGGAUUGUGACUCUAAUAGAUUUACAGCAGCAAACUAACAAGAAAUAAAUGUGGGAGUGGUUAACUUCCACAGCAUCAGCGAACUUUGUGGCAAAAACUUUGUGGAGGGAGGUGAUACCGAGAUGGGGCUUAUUUCGGACAUUAGAUUCCGAUCAAGGAACACAUUUCACUUCUAAAGUGCUACAAGCGGUAUGUAAGGCUUUGGGAAUCUCCCAUGCUUUUCAUUGUCCGUAUAGGCCGCAAGCGGCAGGGAUUACGGAGCGUCAGAAUCGUUCGAUUAAGGAGAAAUUGGCCAAGACUUUAAGUGUGUAUAUUCCCAGGUGAAAGCUGCACACGAGGAACAGGCGCCAGGAGAUAACCGAGAGCACGGGCUGACUCCUGGAGAUCGAGUGUACAUCAAAAUCCACCAGGCGGGGGCGUUGGGACGGCGUUGGUCAGGACCAUACACCGUACUACUAACUGCACCCGCAGCGGUGAAGACCACAGCCUCUCCUUGGUGGGUUCACACUUCUCACGUGAAGCGAGAUCCCACAGCAUAAUGGGAACCAGAAGGGGGAAGUGGAGAAACCACAGCCGCUCCAAAUGCCAUUGAACAAGACGGCAGAUUCAGCUGAAAUGGCAUUUUGUUAUGUGAUGAUAGAUGGAAAUAAAAUUGUGGGAUCAUAGUAUAGAGGCCAUACGUCUCUGAGUUUGUACACCUCGCGGUGACUGGCUGUUCAUUGUUUGUUCAUUUGUUUGUUUGUUUAAUUUAUGUUUUAUAAUCAUUUGUUAGUUUAUUUUUAUUCAUGCUUUAUUACUAUUGUUUAUCCCUUUAAGUAAUUUCCAAGCUUAUGUAAAGUGAACAUUAGGACGCUAUUGUUCAAGAGGAAGGACUGUUGGAAUCGGCUAAACUUUGAUCAUUGAGGUAGCAAAUGAAUGAUAGGAAAUGAAAGAGACUGGGUGUUAUGUUAGAAGAUAAUGGUUCUCUGAAGAAAGACAGAAGGCUUUGGAAUGUGUUUGAUGGAGGAGAGGAGAGCGAUGUGUUGAUAUAGGGAAGACAGAUGGACAUCUGUGUAUUGGAUGAAAGAGGGUUUAAGGUCAGGAGGUGAGGACAGAUUCUCUUAAGAGAGUAAUAAAUGUUUGGAAUCCUGUUACACUCUUUAUUAGCUUCCUGUAGAGCCAUAAAAUGGAAGGAUUGGAGAGAAAGAGGAGUGUCUUAAGUGGGAUGUAUAUAACUGUGAUGUGAUGAAUGUUUUGCUGUCUGAUUUCAGCUGUACAGAACCUUUGGGAAGAAUACACUUGGUUAAAGCUUC
rnacentral:lncRNA from 1 species